GAUGAACGCUGGCGGCGUGCCUAAUACAUGCAAGUCGAGCGAACAGACGAGGAGCUUGCUCCUUUGACGUUAGCGGCGGACGGGUGAGUAACACGUGGAUAACCUACCUAUAAGACUGGGAUAACUUCGGGAAACCGGAGCUAAUACCGGAUAACAUGUCGAACCGCAUGGUUUAACAGUGAAAGACGGUCUUGCUGUCACUUAUAGAUGGAUCCGCGCCGCAUUAGCUAGUUGGUAAGGUAACGGCUUACCAAGGCAACGAUACGUAGCCGACCUGAGAGGGUGAUCGGCCACACUGGAACUGAGACACGGUCCAGACUCCUACGGGAGGCAGCAGUAGGGAAUCUUUCGCAAUGGGCGAAAGCCUGACGGAGCAACGCCGCGUGAGUGAAGAAGGUCUUCGGAUCGUAAAACUCUGUUAUUAGGGAAGAACAAAUGUGUAAGUAACUAUGCACGUCUUGACGGUACCUAAUCAGAAAGCCACGGCUAACUACGUG
rnacentral:rRNA from 1 species